AGAGAUGUGUGAUGACGCAUAUCAAUAAGCGGAGGAAAAGAAACUAACUAGGAUUCCCUCAGUAACGGCGAGUGAAGCGGGAAGAGCUCAAAUUUGAAAUCUUCAAGGUUUUACCUUGACGAAUUGUAGUUUAAAGAAGUGUUUUCUGUUGGUGUUUUGGUAAAAGUUCUUUGGAAUAGGACAUCAUAGAGGGUGAGAAUCCCGUAUUUGACCAUUACUUCCAGCGUUGUGAUACACUUUCAAAGAGUCGGAUUGUUUGGGAAUGCAGUCCAAAAUGGGUGGUAAAUUUCAUCUAAAGCUAAAUAUUGGCGAGAGACCGAUAGCGAACAAGUACCGUGAGGGAAAGAUGAAAAGAACUUUGAAAAGAGAGUUAAACAGUACGUGAAGUUGUCAAAAGGGAAGCGUUUGACACCAGUGUUGUUUUCUCGAAAAUCAAUUAAAAAGAGUUGGAUUUUGUAUUGUUAAGACCUUAUCAGCUUACUGUACUUUUUUCUUGCUUUUUUUAAUGCACUUUUCGUUUAACAAGUCAACAUCAAUUUCUUUCGUUGUAAAAGGGUCGUUGGAAGGUGGCUUUCACUUCGGUGAAAGUGUUUAUAGCCUUUGGCUUCUGCAAUCGGAGAGAUUGAGGUCUGCAGCGUAGAUCCUUCGGGGUUAGAUACAGUUAGAUGCUAAGUUAUAGCCUUUUCAUAGACAACUUGUUGACUAUGAUCAGUCAUGUAGCUUACUCGCUUAUGGUCAUUUUACCUACGCUUAGGAUGUUGAUAGUCACAGCGUGUAC
rnacentral:rRNA from 1 species